rnacentral:lncRNA from 1 species
CUCUCACACUAUUUACACAAACUCUCUUUUCAGUACCAAAAGCUUUAUAUAUGUUAAUAGAUGAGUUUGUGAGUAAUGUUUCAGUGGCUUAUUUUAGGAGUCUCACAAUUUGAUUUUUGUUCCAUGGUUAGGGCCUAGAGGAGGCAUUUGCCCCCAUUUGUUCAUUCAUUUGAUUCAGAUUCAAGUUUUGGUCUUAGGUGUUACAAUUUCAAUUACUUUGUAUUCGAGUUGGAUAAAUACCUGUAAUUUGGAUUAUACCUACUCAAUAUAUAUGCAUUAUCUUCUCUGAGUAACUUUUUGUUUAUGGAGCUUGUUGAGGGUAUUAAAUGAUGGUGUUAGUAUUUUGGUGUCCAAGUCAUUUGAUGAAAUUCAUGAAACUUGUAUUAUGUCAAUUAGAAUAAAUGAAGCUGUUUUGAUUGGGUCACAGAAGAAACUUUUGAUGUGCCAACUAAUUAUUGAUCGGCAUGGUCAAUUGUCUUGGGAAAAAAGUACACUAUAUGAUAUGAAUCUUUUUAAAAAGUGAUUUUAUCAUUAUCAUUGUUAUUAUUAUUAUUAUUAUUUAACAUAAGGAUUUUAUUAUUGUUAUUAACUUUAAAGCAUUAAUAGUAGGGUAAUAAUAGACCCUUAGAUUUGUAUGUUUUAAUCAUAAUCAUCCAGCCUCCGGUGACCAAAUUCACUGCAAAAGUAGCUUUUGUUCCUGCUGCAUGGCGGGUUUUUUUACCAGAAGUUUUGCAUUUCGCCGCCAGAAACUAGUUCAAAUAAUCAAUUAACGUCACCAUGCAAUCAAUAGGACAUCCCACUAGCUAUGUUCAUGUUGCUAGUAGAUGUACAUUGGAUUAUUAUUUUCUUGUGGUUGAAGAUUCAUCUGAACCAAAUGGACCCAUGUGUAAUAAAAAUAAAUAGAUAAAUAACAAAAACGCAGAAGCACAAACAGAAAAUUUAAUAUUUUUCUGACAAAAUAAAGAGAUACGUGGGGGCAGCGGAAGACUGACUUUUGAUGACUCUUUGUCCGCCAUUAGAGAAUAACUGCAACCAAACCAUGUUUUUCACUUCAAUUAUUAUUAGUAUUAUCAAUAAUUAGGGCUUCUUUAUCAACAUCGACCUUUCACUCAAAUUCAACAGCCAAAGUUGCCAGCGGGUUGUGCUCGGCUGAUCAAAAGCAAGUAGUAUAUGUAGGGGAAUGUAAUCAUAGAUGACGCCUUGCACAGCCACGUUCUCUGUCAUUUUCUCAUUUACUUUUUAGAAAGUAAUCCAAUUUGAGGAUAGAACUCAAAUUAAUAAGGAAUUAUUAUCAAAUCGAAUAGAAUAACAACAAUAAUUUAGAUUAGCAAAGAGGUGUUAUAGGAUAAACAAUGCUUGUGAAGAAUCCAAUUUUAAAUAAAAGAAUUUCACAUACUGUAUUUUAUCUUUUCUCUUUUUACUUUUUUUAAAAUUUAAAAUAACCCUUUUAAAUGUUUGUCAAUCAGUAAUAUAAUUUUUAAAAUAAUUAAAAUUUUUACUAAUAAAACUAACGUGCACCAUUGAUUAAAUCUAAUGGUAUAUAUUUAUUAUAUUAUUGAUUUUGUAAAAAAAAAUUAUAGCAUUAUACAAGGACCACAAAACUAUCGUUUUCUACUGAAAAAUUUAAAAUUUAGUCAAAUAUGGUCAAUCCUAUAUUUCUAUCAUAAAUUUCUUGAUAGAAAUAAUUUCUAUCACCAUCCUAUCAUACAUUUAUGAUAGAAAAUAAUUUUAUCAUAAGUCUAUCAUUAAUCCUUGAUGGACAGUAAUUCUAUCACGAAUUCGACAUUAAUCCUUGAUAGACCUAUAAUUGUAUCACAAGUCCAUCAUAGUUUUAUGACAUAAGCCAUUUUGUUUAGAAUCCAUCAUAAAAUGUUUGUUAUCUAUUGCUAGUUUUCUUAUAGUUACAUAAACUUAUUUUACAUAAUUAUGUUCAAAAAGAAAGUUUAUGUGAUAUUUUAAAAAGGAUUUCUUUAUAAUACUGUAUGUAUUUUUACAGCAUUGAUAGUGGGAUUAAUGUGGACCAUUAGUUUUAAGUAUCUUAAUCUCAAUCGUCAAUUUAAUAUAAUGGAUAAUUAAAUAACUAUUGAAAAUGUAGCAUGUAAUUUACAAGUUGCUGGAAAAUAUUUUUUUGAUUUUAAAUUAAUAUUAAUUUGAAAAAAAAAGCCACACAAACCCAAAGGUUUGCUCAAAUAGUCAUACAGAUCUACUUGGUUUCAUAAAUGGUAAUACAGACCCCUUAAUUUUCAUUAAUGACUAUUAUAUAUUUUGAUUUAAACAACCUGAGUAAAUAUAAAUAUAGUAAUAAGAUAAAAAUAAUAAUAAAUAUCAUAUGAUACAAAUAAAAUAUUACAAUAAGUAUAAUUAAUAAAAUAACUUGUAUAAUGAAUUUUUUUAAUAUUAAGUUACUAUUAAUCUAUCCCGAUGGGUUUAUUAAAAUCUACUAAUUCAAAAAUUAACUUUAAGAUAGAUAUUAAUACAAAUAUAAUUAGAAAAGAUAUUAUAAAUAAAACACUAUAAAUUUUUAUAAAUUGUUGUGAGUGUUAGGUAUAACUAUUUCAAUAUUCUAUAUCAUACAUCAUACUUAAGAUGUUGAUUUUGUUGAAGUGUUAUGUUAUUAAACAUUAAGCUUUGCAUUUAUAAUGUUCUACAACUUUAAUGUAAAAUGUAAUUGAAAAAAUAAAAACAUUUUUUAGUAGUCAAUUGUUUUGUAAUAUGAUCAAAUUAAGACAGAGUUAUCAUAUUUUCAUUGUUGAAUAUGCAUAUGAUUCUUAUUGAAUACAAAGGUGCAUCAUUAUGGAUAGCAUAGUUUCAUCAUCAUCAUCUUGCAUCCAUUUUUAAAAAAAUAGAAAUAUAGACCUAAAAUAAGCUAAUGGAGGAAGACCAACGGUCCUGAAAAGUUGUUCCAUAAAUUUAAGCCUACGGUGAUACUUAUUUCUAGACUGAUACUCUAAGUAACUUAGGGCAUGUUCAGUAUCAUUUUGUAGUCCCUAUUUUCAUUUUAAUUUUAAUAGUACAUGUGCAAUAUAUGUUCAGCGAGCCUAAACCUUAAAUCAAAUUAUAAAAUGUAUUAAACAGAAUUUAUUUGAUAGUAAUAAAAAUUAAAACAUGUUAAACACAUUUUCUGUAAAUUACAAAACGAAUUAUAAAAUAAUAUACUACACGUCCUCCAAAGCAUAGCGAAUAAAUUAUAUUUUACAAACACAUAUAAGACAUGUGUUAAGUUAGUAGAGUUGAUUUUUCUUGUAGUCAUUAAGACAUAUGAAUUGAUACCCCUCCCCCCCAAACACACACACACAUAUUGAGUAUUUCUAUCUACCCCUAUUUAUUAAUAGAAGGAAAAUUAAAAUCGUAAUUACCUCGAUAUCUUAUGAAUUGAUAUGUCACAUACAAAUAUCAGUGAAAAUUAAUUUUUAGAUUAAUGAAGUAAACCAUAUAUAGGCAUUUAAUUAAUCUAAGGUCAAAUGAAUAUAUCACAUGACAUUUCAUGAAGUAGUCCAGUUUUAAAACUUUGCAUAUAGUUUUGUAACUUANNNNNNNNNNNNNNNNNNNNNNNNNNNNNNNNNNNNNNNNNNNNNNNNNNNNNNNNNNNNNNNNNNNNNNNNNNNNNNNNNNNNNNNNNNNNNNNNNNNNCAAUUGUGAGUUUUACAUUAAAUCUUCAAAUUAAUUAUAUAUUGUCACUCUUUCCUAUUUUGCUUGAAAUUUCUAUUUAAUAAAAUUACGAAAAGUCGAUAAUGAAUGGUUUAAGAUACAUAGGUAAGAUAAACUUUAAAAGUCUAAUGAAACAUUCCUAUGAAUGUGGGUUUCGUAUGCAUGUUCAUAUAUUUUAUUGAAUUUUGUGUUAUUAAACGAAAUAUGUUAUUCAAGUGAAAAUGUGAGAAUAUUUAAAACUAUAAGGGUGGUCAUUGAAAUUUUUCAUACUUCUACCAACUCAACGGUCCAACAGUUUUUUAAAGAAUUCCCAACAGUUUAGCCACUUUAUGAACCGGUUAUGUUAUUUUAAAAAUAAUUAAAAUUUUUUAUUAAUAAAUAUAAUGUAAUAUUGCUUACAUUAUUAAUACUGUAAAAAAAUUACAGUAUCAUAAAGGGAUACUUUUAAAAAUAAUGAGGUCUCUGUCUAACCAUACCGUGAAACCAUGAAGAUGUCCACUCUCUAACUUUCCCUUGUUAUUUAUUUUGGAAUGAAAACUGACCGAAUGAAAGGGCAAAAGUAGUUAAUUUUCUGCAGGUAAAAGGGCAAAAAAGUACUUUUGUGCCAAUAUUAAUUAAAACAUUAAUUCAAGUGACGAAUAAAGUAAGGGAGGGAUUAUUAUUAUGUUGCGCGUGAACAAAGGGACAGCAGCGAGAAGCUGUAGGGGACUCUUCAGGCAAACAGCUCACUGGAAUUGGAUCUUACAUUUAUUUUUUAAAUUUAAUUAAAUGAAAAUGCGAGAAAGUGAAUGGCGUGCGCAUUACGCACCUACCCCAACUUUAUGGUCAUUUGAUGCUCCACCACCAAUUAUUAGAGCAGUGCUAGCGUCAGUCCCUUUGGGAGCGGCUGACGCAGUCGCUGCUUCUAGGGGGGACAAGUGUUCUUUUUCUUCUUUUGUGCUUCAUUAAAUGAUGGAUUAUAGGACCCACCUAUAUAUACCAAGUCAAUGAUGGAUUAUUGAAAUCUAUGUAUCAAAAGAAAGUUUUUUUUAUUUAUAUACUCUUUCUGUAAAUUAUAGUUUUUCUACCAAAUUAUAUAAUUCAUCAUUAAAAUGGAAGAGAUAAUAUCACAUUUAUAUAGAGUUUUUAUCUAAUGAGAAUAUUUUAUUUUAAUAAAAUAAAAAUAUCACUAUAUAUAUUCAUUAGAAUUGGAUUUUUUUUUAAAAUUUAAUUAAUUGAAAGAGUGAGAAAGUUGAAGAAGUAUGCGCAUUAAACGGAAGAAGAGAGAGAGAGAAAGAGCGUGUAACAGAAACAGAGACAGUAGUGGUCGGGUGACUCGUGUCGGCUUCGACCAAACAUUGACGAUAUAUUCGUUCACAUAUUUUUAUUGCAAUUCAUAUUUUAACAAAAAUAUUCAUUUACUUCCAUCUCAUUCGAUCUGCUCGAUCCACAGCCCUAAUUCAGCUCGCAGGUACCCUCUUGCUUUUCCUUUCCUAUGCUUCAGAUUUAGUUUCUUUUUAAAAUUUUCUAGUUCCUGCUUGGGUGCUGAGAAAAUGGAAGAAAAAAUUCAUUUACUUCCAUCUCAUUCGAUCUGCUCGAUCCACAGCUCUAAUUCAGCUCGCAGGUACCCUCUUGCUUUUCCUUUCCUAUGCUUCAGAUUUAGUUUCUUUUUAAAAUUUUCUAGUUCCUGCUUGGGUGCUGAGAAAAUGGAAGAAAAUGAUGGAUUUUUAGUGAAACCUUGUGCUGUUAUUAAUUUAUUCGCUUGCCCAUUACAUGUUUUUGCGUUUUGAGUGUAGAUAUGCUGUUAAUUAGUGAAGGUAAGUCCUGGUUUUCACCCAACCGAAAAGUUUUUCUUUCUUUUUUUUGGGUUUUUAUUAUUAGAUCCUAAAUCAUUUCUUGCUUUGUUCAUCUCAUGUUUUUGUGUUACUUUUAGUGAAUCGUUUUUGUAAAAUCACGAUCUGGGUUUUACCCUUUUUUUUGUUUUGCAUUGAAAGUUGUUUACUUCUUUUUUUUUUUUUUGAAGAGAGUUGUGUACUUCUUUUGUUUUGUAGUAUCCUAUAUUUUGAUUAUAUUUAUCAACUUUUUUCAUGAAAAUUUGCUGUUUUUAUGCUAGAAAGUGAUGAAAAGUUUCAUUUCUGUCACACUUUUUUUCUUCAGAGGUGCAUAAUUAUUUCCCUGACAAAUUGGCGUUAAAGGUUAAAAGCCAGCUUUUUUAUUUUGGCUCAUUAAAGGCUUAAAGCAGGGCUAGACUGACACAUUAAAGAGAGUUACUAGAGCCGUUGGUUAGAUAAAUCUGAACAACCUGUGACAAUAACAAGUCGUAGAAGUAAAUGCAGCAUUUUAAGGCAAUUUUAGUUGAUGGUUUUUGUUGCUGAGAAUCUUGUAGUGGGUUUGUUUUCAGUACAGCAUAGUCCCUUUUAACUUGGGGCUUUUGUUUGUAGGUUGAUCAAGUGACUCAUAAGGGUUUGUUGUGCUUCUGUUAUGUCAUUUGCGGCUGCGGCAGUGCCUUUGAAUCAUGCCUCUGGAGGUCCCCCUACAGGUUUGCUUCAAUAUUUGUGAUUUAUUGAUGAUUCAUUAGUGUCAAAUGAUGUACUGUUCAUUGGCGUCUUUUUGUAUUGGUUGUAUUAAUUUCAAAUUAGUGAUGGAAUCUGACUGAGGCAAACGGGUUACAGGGCUAAUGUUUGUUUGCACCUGAUGUAGUCUAUGACUUGCACCAUGGCUUAUGUAACUACAAUUCUUCAGCAGUUUCUUAAUUGUUGCAGUUAAUUGUGUUUGGUUGUUCUCAAGAACAGUUCUUUGAUUCUGAGAGCAUGCUUUUAUCAUAAUCGUUUCAAUAUAGAAGCUAGAAGAUUCUUUUGGGUACACAGCACACAGUAUCAGAUGAUUCACAUUUGUUUUUCUUAGAUAUGAAAGUUAUUAUUAUUCUUUUCAAACUUUUGAAUCCUAACCGGACCAAUAUUGUGUGACAGUGCGCUUUCUUAUGAAUUUACGGUUUUGAACUUUUGCUUUGAUUUUGAUCUGUACCCAAUUUCAUGAUGGCUGAUAAAUGAUAAUAAGGUAUAUUUUGUCGGGGACUGGGAUAGUAAUUUUGUCUUCAUGUCAUCGCAGUGUGUUGUAUUUUAUGAUCUCAUUGAUAUGUUUGGGCGGUUUGUGUUUUGCUCUCUUUCUUCCUGUCCCAGCUUCAUUUUCUGCUUACUUUGCCCUUUGUGUUCACUUUAUAGGGGGAUCCAAUGAUGCACUGUACAGGGAAUUAUGGCAUGCCUGUGCUGGACCUCUUGCAACCCUUCCUUGUGAAGGGCAGCGAGUUUAUUACUUUCCGCAAGGUCACAUGGAACAGGUUUGUUGACCUUUAACUGGAAUCUGUCUCUGUUUGAGUGUUCUUUUAGUUUAUAUGAGUUUACUAUUAUAGAAUGACAAAUAUGAAUACCCUAUUAAAAAUUGCCAAACACAAAAAAUGGAAAAAAAAAAAAAAGAAAAGAAAAUGACCAAAGUGUAGAAAACACUCAACUUGUUUAACAGAAGAAUAUAAUGUGAAAAUAUCUAUCUAUCACCAUUUGCAGGUUAAAAAUUUUUUUCUUUCAAUGUCGUAGGGACAAGAAAGUUUCAAUCAUGUUAUAACUAAUGCUAUUUUUCAAAUUUCCAGCUUGAAGCAUCGAUGCAUCAGGAGUUGGAGCAGCAAAUGCCCUCAUUUAAUCUGCCAUCUAAAAUUCUGUGUAAAGUGGUUAAUGUUCAGCGACGGGUGAGUUAUCUCAUGAUCAUUCUAUUAUUUUUUGGGGAGCAUGUCAUUGUUCUUGAGCUCUGUUAAAAAGUUGUUUCCAUUUCUAAGUCCUUACUUCAGUUGCUCUUUUUGCUUUGACUGUAGGCUGAACCUGAAACGGAUGAAGUUUAUGCACAAAUAACUCUGUUGCCUGAACCUGAUGUAAGCUUUCUUCCUUUUGCUCUAAUCUUUUAAUUAGCUGAUUUAGAAACUACUAAAUUUGUUAGCUUGUUAUAGUUGCUUGCAAUUCUUACAGUUUCUUUCUUUCAUGUCUGUCUGUGUUAAUUUCACCAGCAAAGCGAGGUUACCAGCCCAGAUCCCCCCAUCCCAGAGCCUGAAAAGUGCACCGUUCAUUCAUUCUGUAAGACAUUAACUGCAUCUGAUACGAGCACCCAUGGUGGGUUCUCCGUUCUUCAUAGGCAUGCAGAUGAUUGUCUCCCCCCAUUGGUUAGCUUCAACUGUGAAUCCAUCAUUUUUGUGUCAGAUACUACAGGAUGAUAUGUUGUAUUUACAGCUUGCUUGACCUGCCUGUCUCCCUUGAUCAUUUCAGGAUAUGUCCCGGCAGCCACCUUGGCAGGAACUAGUUGCAACUGAUCUGCACGGGAAUGAAUGGAAUUUUCGGCACAUUUUCCGAGGUUUGGCUCCAACUUCUCUGACUUGAUAUAACACUUUGUUGCUUAAGUUGAAGCAGAAACAUUGCUGCAACAUGCUUAUUUUUAAAGUUUGCCAGGUUCAUGUAUUUUGUUAAAUAUUUUAUCCAAUGUAUUAUAAAUUACACAUGGUUUCUGGAAAUUUGAGGAUUUUGAUACAAAGUCAAGGUUUCCUAUCACAGAUCAACCAAGGCGUCACUUGCUCACCAUUGGGUGGAGUGUGUUUGUUAGUUCCAAGAAAUUGGUAGCAGGCGAUGCAUUCAUAUUUCUGAGGCAAGUACUGGUAUAUCAAAUAGGAAACGAAGUAUGUUCUGUUUCGUUGCUUUGUUUCCUAUAUUUAUCGUGUUCGCUAUUGAUAACUGUUUCAGAGGGGAAAAUGAGGAGCUGCGUGUUGGGGUAAGGAGGCACAUGAGACAGCAGACAAAUAUGCCAUCUUCAGUUAUAUCUAGUCAUAGUAUGCAUCUUGGCGUACUUGCAAUUGCUUCUCAUGCCAUUGCAACUGGAACUCUCUUUUCAAUCUUCUACAAACCAAGGUAUUUUCCUUUGUGCAAUUUGAAGUUUGACGAGUGAAACAUUUCCAAUUUCUGAAUUGAAAGAGAGUAAAACUUAGGACUAAAUGCCCAAAACUCAAUGUAAAGGCAUGAAAUUUUUUUUUAAAGAUGUUGUCUUACAAACAUCGAAAUUUGCCAGCACUUCUAUAGUUUGGGCUUCUUUUUUAAAAAAUCCCUCUAUGUUCUAUCAUGCUAUGUAUUUUUCGAAUUAUCAUUAUUAAUAUUUUUCAAUAAAAUAUUUUUGACAUAAAAUAUAAUUAUGUGCCAGAACUAGCCGGUCUGAGUUCAUUGUAAGUGUUAACAAGUAUCUUGAAGCUAAAAAACACAAGCUUUCUGUUGGGAUGGGGUUCAAGAUGACAUUUGAGGGUGAGGAAGUUCCUGAACAAAGGUAACCUUCCUUUCUAAUUUAUUUUUGUAGAAGAGGAAGUUAAAUAACAUUUAUUAACCAAUUUUAUCAUCGUUCCACAGGUUCAGUGGUACUAUAGUCGGAGUUGGGGAUUGUAAAAGUUCAGUCUGGCCAGAUUCAGAGUGGAGAUCCUUAAAGGUUAGCAAGUUCUUUUCCCAUACACCAACUUAGUUUUGAAUUCAUUCAAAGAAUUUACUAAGGUGGCCAUUCCAAUAUUCCACUCAGUUUUAUCCACACUUUUAUACUAAUCAAAUUAAAUAGUGGCUUUUAAAAUUACUAAUUUUUUAGAAGAUUAGGUGUUUGUUUCCUUUGUAACCGGUCAAAUAUUUCUGUGUUUUGAAUUUUGGCGGGGGGAACUCUGUGUGGCCUGGUUGACUUUAUCAUGUUUCAAUUUUAUGUUAGGUUCAAUGGGAUGAACCUUCAUCAAUCUUGCGACCAGAUAGAGUAUCAUCGUGGGAAUUGGAGCCACUUGUUGCAACUACAACUACUACAAAUGCUCAACCAGCACAAAGGAACAAACGGUCACGACCACCUGUUUUACCAUCACCAGCUGCAUGGGAUGAACCUUCAUCAAUCUUGCGACCAGAUAGAGUAUCAUCGUGGGAAUUGGAGCCACUUGUUGCAACUACAACUACUACAAAUGCUCAAACAGCACAAAGGAACAAACGGUCACGACCACCUGUUUCACCAUCGCCAGCUGCAGAUAUCUCUGUCCUGGGUAUUAUAGCUUUAGAUAUGAUGCAUCUUGUUCUUAUUCUUCUUUACUUCAGUUGCUAAUCUUGUCUUUCUGUAUUUAUGUGGAAAACCGUGCAGAAAAUUUAACAGAAUCAUUUGCUCCAGUUGUGAACAAAGAAUCCAGUGAAAAGAGACAGGGCAAUGGGAACACCUGCAGGCAAUUUGGCAUUCCACACAUUGACAACUCGAAUGUAGAAGAAGCUUCGCCUGCUUUUACCAUGUCUGGAGCAAUGGGGGAUGAUCGAGCAAUUCCAUGUUUAGAUGCAGACUCUGACCAGCAUUCUGAACCAUCAAAUAUUAAUCGAUCUGACGUUCCUUCUGUAAGUUGUGAUGCAGAGAAAUCGUGCCCGAGAUCUCCUCAGGAGUCUCAAAGCAGGCAGAUUCGAAGUUGCACAAAGGUAAUAUGGUUGCUUUCUGUUUUAACUUUCCUUUCUUAACAAGCUAGCAUGCAUUAGAUAAGAUCUCAGAAAGGGCUUUAUUUUCCUUUUGAAAUUUUAGUUUUUGUCUGCCCGACAGGCAUCCUCUCUGUCUAUGGAACCGGUUUAUAAUGUCUCUUCGAAUGGGAAAUUUAGAAGAAGAAUAAUGUCAUGGCAAAAGGGUGAGCUUUUGGGAAGUGGGUCAUUUGGGUCUGUGUAUGAAGGCCUCACUGAGUAAGUGAAUUCUGUUCCUGUAUUAAUGUUCUUGGAACUUGUGAAAAGGAGUUUAAUUGUUCUGAUUGUAUUUCAAUACCCAUUUGGUUACAUAGCCUUAUUGAUAUGUACCUGCUGAAGGUUUUUAAUGAGUUAAAGGAUGUACAAUGUUGGAUUAGAAGGAAGUUUCUAGGAACUUAUUGAAUACUUUUUCUGCUUUCUGAAAGAUACUACAGGAAAAGUGAUAGACUUCAUGAUGAGAACUCAAUGGGGUUUUGGGUAUGCUACUUGUAAAUCUACUCGUCUUAUUUGUCAAGAUAAUCAUGCAAGAUGAAUUCAAUUUUGUUUUUGAGGCAGGGUAAUUUGAUGACGAGCUAGACUGAAUGUUCUUUUGCAUAUUCUUACUUGAAACAAUGAAGUUUUGCAACUAUUUUACGUUUUACUUCUAAAUAUUUCUAAGAUUUUGAGGUGUAUUUUAUUUGUUUUUGCAAUGAGUCCAUAUUCUGAAAGUGGUUAGGAUUAUGUCUGUGUGGUCAGACUUACAAUGAUUAACUUGGCCUUGUUUACUAUCUUUGAUGUGCAUGUUUAUGUGCAAACGUCCAUGAGCAUAUACUUUUUUUUUUUUUUUUGGGGGGGGGGGGGGGGGGGCAACUUCUCUAAUGCUUUCUGGUUUGUUUGCAGUGAUGGAUUCUUUUUUGCUGUGAAGGAGGUUUCUUUGCAGGAUCAAGGAGCUCAGGGAAAGCAGAGCAUUCUUCAACUUGAGCAGGUGGGAUGAUUAGUCUUGUCCUGCUGGAACUCCAUUACAUAUUAUUCUGUAGUCUUUUUCUCUGCUUUAAAUUACAAAUCAUGCAGUUGCAUAUUUUUAUCCCGCCUCUAAAUAGCUACAUGGAAGGAUCAUUUCUCUAAUAAUAUGUUUAUUGGCUCAGGAAAUUUCUCUUUUGAGUCAGUUUGAACAAGACAACAUAGUUCAAUAUCUUGGCACAGACAAGGUAUGCGUCUAUCCUCCGUGCUUGCUUUUUUUUUGCCUUUCAUUUCCUCAUAGUAAUAUUUGUGAAGUGAGGGUCAGAACUUUGUGCUUGUAAUGACAUUUAUAGACUCCUAACACCUAUGAUUUUUCUGGAAUUUGAAGCACUGUGAAUUAAUGCAUGUUAUUGACUUUAGCACUAUUUGAAUUUUUUUUUUCUCUUUUAAGUGAAAUUAUACUGUCAUUGUCCUUAUCAUUAACACAAUCAAUUGGAUUAAGUAGUCAUACUUGACAGGAAAUACUUCAGAAUCAAAGUUUUAUGCUACAAUGAAAUCGCCAGUAUUCCCAAACUAUCCAUAUACCCGUGGGGAACUCUAUUAUUGCCAGCUUUAAUUUCUUCCUGCUACAUUUAGUUGUGCAAUUCAUUAUUAUCUGGCAUUUCAGUAUAUAUAAACCUAUCUUAUUUGUUAAAGUACACAAAGAACAAGGAACUUCCCACUAGUCCUAAAUUUGAAGAAAAAUGCAGUCCUGCUGCACACUUUGUGUGGCAUAUUAACUAAUUUUUUGAAUUUCUAUGGAAUUUGUCUCUGUUGUAUUAAAUUGUCCUUUUAUAUCUGGUUGUUUAGGUGUGCUUAUUUCAUUUCUGACUCUUUAAUUCUAAGUCACCAAAUGAUCUCAGGAUGAAAAUAGGCUUUAUAUCUUCCUUGAGCUUGUAACGAAGGGUUCACUUGCAAAUCUUUAUCAAAAGUACCACUUGAGUGAUUCUCAAGUCUCUUCAUACACAAGGCAGAUCCUGAAUGGCUUAGUAUAUCUUCAUGAGCGGAAUGUGGUUCACAGGUGAUAUAAUUGAUUUGGCUGCUAUUUUCUCAGUUCAUUUUCCUUAUCAUGCUGUGUCCUCUCAAUAUUCCACAUUUUAUGUCAAGAUGUCUCGGUGCAAAUAGAUGUAGCAUUCAUGAUUGUUUAUGCAGAUAGGAAAUCAGUUCUUUCUCUUGCUGUUUGUUUGCAAUAUGUUAUUAUUUAUACCAUUCGUUUUCUUUCCAAAAAUGCAGAUUUUUGGAGCUCAAUCUUUAAAACUAGUCUGGAAACCUGCAUAUUGUUAAGCAUUUCUAUUGCUGAUACUUUGUAUAUAAUUUCGUGAUGGUAUUAGAAAUAAGAUGUUGCAGAGGAAAGGUUGAGAAAAUUGGUAGAAACAAAGAGAAAAAGGUAAAAGCGUACAGAAAUAACAAAAGAGCAUUUAAAGUUGUAGGAUGUUUUGUAAACAGCUAACCAUGUUGAAUAUGCAUUUUGAAGAAAUAGUUGCAAUCAUAACCAUUUACAGAUAGUUUUAAUCCCUCACAAGGAAAAUUACAUUCUCAGUUGCUGCAAAUCAUGGAUAUUGGUUUCAUUCAAGGUUAAACAGAAGAUAGCAAUAACAGAGGUUGUUAUUUGGAAUUGAGGGAAAGUUUGCUUAACUGUUAUCAUCUUGCAAGUGUUAAUCAUAACUUAGCAGCUGCAGAGUUUCAACAGAAUAAUAAUCUAGUAUCUUCUUAGUGCAUGUACUGGGGAUGAAUUUAUAGACAAGGUAAAUCUCAGUUGAUGAGAGUAAGAAAUUCUUCUCUCAGCAAAAUGUUAUCAAAAUGCUCAUUCAGAUAGCUCACUGAUUGUUUACAGACUUACGAAAAUUGUUAAAAAGCGUGUGGUGAAUAAAUAGCUUGUGUGAAUUAUUUUUUAAAGAGAAAAAUUGAAAUGCAUUUCCAGGCUGGGUACAUAGCUGGUCUAUUUUUUGGGCUACUAUAAUUGUGGCAGGUGAACUUAGCAAUGACACUUGAAAGUUGCUUUUGUUAUACUAUUUUAAGUAUGUCUCUUUUAAAAUUUGCCUCUUUUCAUUUUCAAGGGAUAUCAAAUGUGCAAAUAUAUUGGUAGAUGCUAGUGGAUCAGUAAAACUUGCGGAUUUUGGGUUGGCAAAGGUAGUUAAUCUCUCCCCUUCUUUGUAAAACUCAUGAAUGCUACUGAAUUUAAUGCAAUAUAUUUGAUCUUUUCAGGCAACUACAAUGAAUGAUCUCAAAUCCUGUAAAGGAACACCAUUCUGGAUGGCCCCUGAGGUUUUCCUCUUCUGUUGUAGUCUGAUUUAUAUAGACAAAAUCUGAUCUAUUUGCUGAAUGUCCCUCAUUCACAAUCGAAUUUGCAUGGUCUAAAGGUUUAACUGAUCUACUUGUUUAUAACCAUUGAUAUCUUGGUCAUUGUCAAAUUUGAGAGCUCUGGGACACAUAAAAUCUAAUUUUUUUCAACCUUUUAGCUUGACAUGUUUGCAGCAGUUUUUAGGAGGUUAAUUUUUGAAUUUGACACUACUGUGUUUCUAUAGCUUGCUUUUGUAUAGCUUUAAAGAUUGCAAAUCAGAUCCUCUACCUUCUUUCAUUUGAAUUUUGAAACAUUAUCUGCUCCCGUUCAUUUGAAGUUGAUGAGAAAAGGCCUCUCUUUAAUUUAGAUGUAGUUAAUACUAGUCCUAUAGUUGAUAUUGGUACACAUUCAUCAAAAAUUAUUGCCCAGACAUAGGACCAAAAACCUGGAAACUGACUCAUGGUAAAGAGUAAACAUCUUUUCAUAUAUCAUAUUGACACAUACCGAAAAUGUUUCUAUUAGACAUUUCAGGUUAACAAGAUUAGUUUUGCUUCUUAGGUUGUAAAUUCAAAGAAUGACGGCUAUGGACUAACUGCUGAUAUAUGGAGCCUUGGGUGUACUGUGUUGGAGAUGUUAACCCGUCGGCCUCCAUACUCUCACUUGGAAGGCGUACGUAAAAAAUUUUCAUAUAUUAAAAUUGAUUUGCUUUCCCUACUUUUCCAUGUUUUGUUUUAUAUGCCUGUUUUUUCUUGUUAAACAUCUUGUGAUUUGUAAAAGGUUGCAUCAGUUUUGAUAUGGUGCUUAGUUGUUGCAUAAUUUUGUGUGUUGGCAGGUGCAAGCAUUAUUCAGGAUAGGCAAGGGUGAACUUCCUUCAGUUCCCAGCUCAUUAUCGAGAGAUGCCCGGGAUUUUAUUCUUAAAUGCUUACAAGUUAACCCAAAUGAUCGGCCUACUGUAACUGAACUAAUGGAGCAUCCAUUUGUAAAGAGGCCACUGCAAACUCCUAGGUGACUUCUCCUCAUUAUAACAUUAUGCAGUCUUGAAAGUUUGUGAUUAUGCUUUGGGGUUUACGUAUAUUCUAGAGGUAGUCUAGCGGCAUCAUCAAAUUUAAAUUGCAACCUUUAGUUGUAGCUUUGACUUCUUGUUUGGACUUAAUAUCAUGGACAUACUGAAAAUAAUUGUUAAAUACAUUUAUAAACUAUCCAUUUGGGCUUGCAACUUCACUUUUCAAGCUUAUAGGGAACUAAGAAAUGGAGCUAGAUUGUGAUGCGUCCAACUGCCUUGGUGAUCCAAAUUCAGUGUGAAGGGAGUGAACAAGUUCCUCUAGAUGUUUUAAUGCAACCCCUUCCUGUUGAUAACUGGACAAACCUUGAGAGAUUAUUGCUUUUUAUACUGAUUUGCUUUGAGGUUAACCUACAAGUCAACAUUGUUAUUGUGUCGUUUGGUUCUAUAUAUUUUAGAUUUGUGUUACUUUUCUUUAUUUUGCAUGCGUCCUUUGUUCGCAGGUGUGGCCAAGCCAAUUGCUAGUUCUUUUAAUAGCUUUGAGCUGAGGCACAUGUGGUGUUAAUACAAUGCUAAGAUCUCUUAAUCUAUGCUUAUGCAUAGGCUGAGAAUCUGUUCAUAUGAAGAAGCAGAUGAUGUGUAAAUAUGUAAUUAGAUGUCGAUAUUUUGUGGUCUUGAUAAUCUGGAAUCUUAAAAUGGUGUUAUAAGAAAGCAAAUUGUUAUCAAUUGUUAGAGUAUUUUUCAUACACUACUUGAUGCUGUGACACGGAGAAAACUGAAAUGCCGUUACCUUGGAAAUUUCUUCCGGACAAAGCAUUGUAAAUUUCAGUUUUAGCAGAAAAGCAAUCCCUCUGCCUCUGCUUAGCCGCUCAACCUAUUGUUUCAUUUUCUUUUUUUCUUUUUUUAUUUACCGAAAAGAGUAAUACUAUUUUUACGCAUAAAAUUGCAUGUAAAUUUGUACAACAGUACAAGAUCACCCAAGACAAACACAAGAUACUGAAAGAUAAAUUUACUGAGGUCAUUAGUUUUUGCUUUAAAAAAUUAUUCAUGGCUGCACGCAAGGACAAAGGAGAGGUUAUUUUUUUUUUUCUUAAUGGAUAAAGAAAAGUCAGCAGUACUACGGAGUACAGGCACUUGUCGACAAUCAACACCUCAAUCCAUUUGUCCAGAUGAAAAAGGACAAAUUAAAUGACACGGAAAUAUCCAUUGGUGGAGCUGAAAAAGAUCAAAUAAAAGAGACACCUGUUUGUUGUCUUAUUGUCUGCAAAACAGUAAACACAAACAGAAACAGGAGAAGAAAAUUUUUUAACAGCGCAAUGAGAAAACAAAUGGGCAAGUUAUUGAAUUCGAAGGACUUCGAUGAUGGUCAGAAAAUUGGGUCGGGGAAGACCUUGAGAAGAUGGGGAUCUCCCUGCAAUGGCCGCAGAAGCUUCCAUAAGCUCGCCGAUCUCGACGAUCGACUCAAAUUACAGGUGAAUUAUCCCUUUAAUUUCUUUAUUUUUUUUCAGUUAUUAGUUAACUUAUGAUUCAAGUUAAUUUGGGUUAGCUUUAUUGAUUUAUUUAUUUAUUUUAAUUAUAUAAGUAAUUUUUGUAUUUACUUUUUUAGUUGUGUGCCUAAUUUCUUUGGGGUUAAUGCCUAAUGGGAAACUUUUAAAAUCAACACUCAAGAAUUUAAAUGCAGACUGACGGGUAAAGGUGAAUAGUACUAAAUGAUUGAAUUUAGGAUACCGAACUAAAUGUCAUCUCCGUGUGUUACAGGAACAAGUUACAGUUUCACCUGUCGUUCUAAAAGCGGUACUUCACUUUACAGAGAGUCCGAGUCUGCGUUCAAAUGAAGAUGUGCCAUCAAGUGAAUACAUUGUGACCGUGGCUGCCACCGAUGCCAGAAUAUUUCAAGAACCCGUUGAUGACGUUGGAUCCACCGUCAAUGGCCUUGAGGUAAUGAUAAUUUAUACUGAAACUUUUAUUCCUCAAUUCAAUUUUCAAAUAUCAAAGUAUGCUCUUUUGAUAUUUGAAAAUCCGAAAAUCGCUCAAGUAUCCAUUUUCCUGUGUUUGUGUUUACUGUUUUAAGUUUUAGUACCAAGAGCUUUAUAUAUGUUAAUAGAUGAGUUUGUGAGUAAUGUUUCAGUGGCUUAUGUUAGGAGUCUCACAAUUUGAUUUUUGUUUCAUGGUUAGGGCCUAGAGGAGGCAUUUGCCCCAAUUUGCUCAUUUGAUUCAGAUUCAAGUUUUGGUCUUAGGUGUUACAAUUUCAAUUACUUUGUAUUCGAGUUGGAUAAAUACCUGUAAUUUGGAUUAUAACUGCUCAGUAUAUAUGUAUUAUC